GAGGCCCCACAUCCAGGAAGGCAGCAGGCGCGAAAAUUACCCACUUCCGCGCGGAGAGGUAGUGACUAGUCAUAACAAAUAUAGACCCUAGUGGUUUGUAUUUGGACUGGUGAGAUGUUAUAAAUAUCUCAGUAAUCUAGAUCAGGGCAAGUCUGGUGCCAGCAGCCGCGGUAAUACCAGCCUGAUCAAGCGUAUGCUUUAGUUGCUGCGUUUAAAAAGCUCAUAGUUGGAUCUUCGAAAGCGUGAUCAUCAAAGGGCGUAGUUCGGUUACGGUCGUUCUAUUCCUGGUCACGGUCUUUCACUAUACUUGGAAGACAGUUUAUUCUUAACUGAAUAGACUGAUCGAAAACAAGUGAUAAACCUUGAAAAAAUUAGAGUGCUCAAAGCAAGCUUUGGCCUUGAAUUUUAAAGCAUGGAAUUGAGGAAGAGGACCAUUAUGGUCGUGAACCAUUUUGGUAAUGAUUAAAAGGAACAGACGGGGGCAUACGUAUUGCUCGGGGAGGGGUGAAAUCCGUAGAUCCCAGCAGGACGACCUACUGCGAAAGCAUUUGCCAAGAAUGUUUUCAUUAAUCAAGAACGAAAGUUAGAGUAUUAAAGAGGAUUAGAUACCCUCGUAAUUCUAACCUUAAACGAUACCAUCGUAAUCUUUAGCC
rnacentral:rRNA from 1 species